GACGUAGGGCGCAAGCGUUGUCCGGAUUUAUUGGGCGUAAAGAGCGUGUAGGCGGCCAGAUAGGUCUGUUGUGAAAACUCGAGGCUCAACCUCGAGACGCCGAUGGAAACCAUUUGGCUAGAGUCCGGAAGAGGAGAGUGGAAUUCCUGGUGUAGCGGUGAAAUGCGCAGAUAUCAGGAAGAACACCCGUGGCUAAGGCGGCUCUCUAGUACGGUACUGACGCUGAGACGCGAAAGCGUGGGGAGCGAACAGG
rnacentral:rRNA from 1 species